rnacentral:rRNA from 1 species
UUAUGGCUCAGGAUGAACGCUGGCGGACGUGCCUAACACAUGCAAGUCGAACGAAGCAUACGGACUGGAGAUUCGUCGAAGGACUGUAUGACUUAGUGGCGGACGGGUGAGUAAUGUAUGAGCAACCUGCCUUUACAGAGGGGGACAACAGUUGGAAACGACUGCUAAUACCGCGUAACGUAUCGUGGGGGCAUCCUCGUGAUACCAAAGGAGCAAUCCGCUGAAAGAUGGGCUCAUAUCUGAUUAGCUUGUUGGCGGGGUAACGGCCCACCAAGGCGACGAUCAGUAGCCGGACUGAGAGGUUGAACGGCCACAUUGGGACUGAGAUACGGCCCAGACUCCUACGGGAGGCAGCAGUGGGGAAUAUUGGGCAAUGGGCGAAAGCCCUGACCCAGCAACGCCGCGUGAAGGAAGAAGGUCUUCGGAUUGUAAACUUCUUUUAUGAGGGACGAAGGACGUGACGGUACCUCAUGAAUAAGCCACGGCUAACUACGUGCCAGCCGCGGC